AGGGCUCCCCCUGCAGCCGCCAGCACACAGGUAGCAAUUAUGUGUGUCAGUGUGAGUGUAUGUGUGUGUGUCUGUGUCAUGGUGUGUGUCUAUCUGUGUCAUUGUGUGUGUGUCUCUGUCUGUCAUGGUGUGUGUGUCUGUGUCAUUGUGUGUGUGUGUCUCUGUCUGUCAUGGUGUGUCUGUCGGUGUGUGUCUCUGUCUGUGUCAUGGUGUUUGUGUG